GGGGGGAGCAAGCGUUGUUCGGAUUUACUGGGCGUAAAGGGCGCGUAGGCGGCCACCGCAAGUCGACUGUGAAAUCUCCGGGCUUAACUCGGAAAGGUCAGCCGAUACUGCGGGGCUAGAGUGCAGAAGGGGCAACUGGAAUUCUCGGUGUAGCGGUGAAAUGCGUAGAUAUCGAGAGGAACACCUGCGGCGAAGGCGGGUUGCUGGGCUGACACUGACGCUGAGGCGCGAAAGCUAGGGGAGCGAACGGGAUUAGAUACCCCGGUAGUCCUAGCCUUAAACGAUGAAUGCUUGGUGUCUGGGGUUUUAUAGUCCCCGGGUGCCGUCGCUAACGCUUUAAGCAUUCCGCCUGGGGAGUACGGUCGCAAGACUG
rnacentral:rRNA from 2 species